rnacentral:rRNA from 1 species
CUAUGGGUUGUAAACUGCUUUUAUACAGGAAGAAACACCUCUACGUGUAGAGGCUUGACGGUACUGUAAGAAUAAGGAUCGGCUAACUCCGUGCCAGCAGCCGCGGUAAUACGGAGGAUCCAAGCGUUAUCCGGAAUCAUUGGGUUUAAAGGGUCCGUAGGUGGAUAAUUAAGUCAGAGGUGAAAUCCUGCAGCUCAACUGUAGAAUUGCCUUUGAUACUGGUUAUCUUGAGUCAUUAUGAAGUGGUUAGAAUAUGUAGUGUAGCGGUGAAAUGCAUAGAUAUUACAUAGAAUACCAAUUGCGAAGGCAGAUCACUAAUAAUGUACUGACACUGAUGGACGAAAGCGUGGGGAGCGAACAGGAUUAGAUACCCUGGUAGUCCACGCCGUAAACGAUGGUCACUAGCUGUUCGAACUUCGGUUUGAGUGGCUAAGCGAAAGUGAUAAGUGACCCACCUGGGGAGUACGUUCGCAAGAAUGAAACUCAAAUGAAUUGACGGG